rnacentral:rRNA from 1 species
UAGGGAAUCUUCGGCAAUGGACGAAAGUCUGACCGAGCAACGCCGCGUGAGUGAAGAAGGUUUUCGGAUCGUAAAACUCUGUUGUUAGAGAAGAACAAGGACGUUAGUAACUGAACGUCCCCUGACGGUAUCUAACCAGAAAGCCACGGCUAACUACGUGCCAGCAGCCGCGGUAAUACGUAGGUGGCAAGCGUUGUCCGGAUUUAUUGGGCGUAAAGCGAGCGCAGGCGGUUUCUUAAGUCUGAUGUGAAAGCCCCCGGCUCAACCGGGGAGGGUCAUUGGAAGCUGGGAGACUUGAGUGCAGAAGAGGAGAGUGGAAUUCGAUGUGUAGCGGUGAAAUGCGUAGAUAUAUGGAGGAACACCAGUGGCGAAGGCGGCUCUCUGUUCUGUAACUGACGCUGAGGCACGAAAGCGUGGGGAGCAAACAGG